UACGAAGGGGGCUAGCGUUGUUCGGAAUCACUGGGCGUAAAGGGCGCGUAGGCGGCUUUAUAAGUCGGGGGUGAAAGCCUGUGGCUCAACCACAGAAUUGCCUUCGAUACUGUAGAGCUUGAGACCGGAAGAGGUAAGUGGAACUGCGAGUGUAGAGGUGAAAUUCGUAGAUAUUCGGAAGAACACCAGUGGCGAAGGCGGCUCACUGGCCCGUUACCGACGCUCAGGCGCGACAGCGUGGGGAGCAAACAGG
rnacentral:rRNA from 1 species